UGCACUUUAAAAAACAAAAAAAAAAUGACCACGAGAACGUGCCCGCGCUUUAGUUACAUCUAUUGGGUUCUUGGCGCAGGGAAGAGAAAAACAUGGCCAUGGCACUGAGGCCUUGAAGCGGCAAGGGCUUUGUGAAGGACAACAUGGCGAUGGGGGGCGGUGCCGACGGGCCUCUCCGUGAUGAGAAUCUUUUCACAGACCUGUACUGAGCUCCGUGAGGAUAAGAAACUCUGAGGAGACAGGCCUUAAACGGCCGACGCAGUCUUAGCUCCGGAAAACAAAGCGUUUACGAGAUAGCCUAGUGCUGACCUGAUGUUCUUUUGUCUUCAGGGUUCGGGCGCGCGUCGAACACUAAAGGAUAGCAAAGAGUUUUCGUUACAAUGUGGUUUAAAUCAAAAGACCUUACGGGUGGGAGGAUGGGCCAAGACCUGUGCCUGUGUGGAUCAGGCAUUAUGGCGAUGCUCCAGCAUCUCAUCACCAAUCCUAAGGAAUUCAUCUGCCUCCCAGGGUGAAUGCAGGUAAUUUUGCAAAUGGGGGGUUAGGGUGUAGUCUGUCUGGUAUUCCCCACAACCAGGAGAGCAAACGGUCAGUGGAGCAGUGUUGCUUUUUUGCUCCUUCCAGCUUGUUCCUCUUGGAAUGAUUUUCCUGGGGAGGGAGAUGGCAAGCCAGCAAGCGGCACCGUUGGUUCUUGUGAUGGUGUGCUCUUCCCUCACCCACAUGUCACUGUCAGAUGAUUUGAAUGAUAGUGCUGAUUCUCUGUGAGGUACGACAUUUAAUAGCAUGUUAGAGUUCUGAUGGCAGUUUCUGUUAAUGAAGAAAUUUUAUUCCAUCUUAGUAUUUUGAAAUAACCAUUUGCUCCCCCUUUGCAGG